GACGUAGGUGGCGAACGUUAUCCGGAAUUAUUGGGCGUAAAGGGUGCGUAGAUGGCCUGAUAAGUUAGCAGUGGGAAAUCGAGGCUCAACCUCGUGGAAGCUGGUAAUACUGUCAGGCUCGAGUGCAGGAGAGGUUAACGGAACUCCAUGUGGAGCGGUAAAAUGUGUAGAUAUCUGGAAGAACACCAAAGGCGAAGGCAGUGUCCUGGGUGGUCGCUGACGCUGAGAGGCGAAAGCCAGGGGAGCGAACGGG
rnacentral:rRNA from 1 species